GAGAUUAGAUCAGCCUGGCCCCUGCGCAAGGAUGACAUGCAAAUUCACAAAGCGGACUAUAUUAAC
rnacentral:snRNA from 10 species